CCCUUUGUCUCUCUCUCGCUCUCAACAGAAAAAGCACUUUAAAAAAGAAAGUAGUUUGGUUUUCUUUUUACAAUAUUUAUUACAAGUAAGGGUCCUUCUUAAUGAUGGCACCUAGAAAGUCUUGGCAGUGAAAGUUUGUGGCUUGAGGUUAGGGUGGUCUUCUUGUGGUUUGUGGUCUUCAAUUGUCUUCUUUUAUGUUCCUUUUAAUAACAGUUAUGCAAAAAUAUGAGAUUUAUGAUUCUAGAUUCAUUUCGUUUGGAUUUCCAUGGGCUUUUGGAUACGUACAUUGAUGAUGCACCUAUAUCCUGUAUCUGGACUUCUUGGAAAAGGUCAGAUGAGAUUGUGAUUGUCUGUGAUUCUUGCUCUGGUAGUGUUAUGGGUCCUCAGAUGACUUGAGUAUUUAUAAAAUUGUAGUGGGAUUUUUCUUGUACAGUUUUCUUUUCAUGCUCAGGAUACAGUUCACGAUGCGUGCCACUUUUCUUAGCAAGGCACCUCUCUGAGAAGAAACCAGGUAUUCAGUAGUUUUUUUGGAAUGAUUGCCUCUGUAAGAAC